rnacentral:lncRNA from 1 species
CUGUCUCUAUUUUAAUACAUUUCCCAGGAUCUUGCCUCAAUGACCUGGUUACUCCAUGGUCAAGAUAUCCUCCUGACUACUGCAAGCCACAGUCCAGAGGAAUUCACUUCUGACCACUCAACUUUGUUCACCCUGCUGAGGAAUCAGAUGAAGAAUGACUGCUUCACACUGACAAGUCACCUUUAUCUGGAAAGUCAAAGGUCCUCCUUCCUAUUUCUCUCCUGCUCCUCUUCUUUGCCUUACACUCUUGCCCCAUGUCCACAUCAAGUAAUAUUCCUGAAUGAUUCACGAGCAACACCAUCCAUGUACUACCAGUUACUCUUGUGUUCUCCCAGGUCCCUCGGUGGACUUGGUAGAGUUUGAUUCCCCAUGAGAUGGAUAAGGAGGACCCAUCUUACGCUCUGGUAAGUUUUACUACUUUAUGUGAGAAAUACAAGUAUUAUUUAUUUGGAUUGUCUUCUAUUGUAUUAAGUCAUGACCAUCUGAAUAUGUACAUCAGGGUUGGCAUAUACAAUUUCCUUUGUUGGGAAUUUCAAGGGACAGUUGGUUGCCAACCAACACUUCAUUGAAGACAAAAUUUAAAAAUGAGGGGUUGGAGAUGUGGCUCAAGCAGUAGCGUGCUUGCCUGGCAUGUGCAGGGCUCUGGGUUCGAUCCUCAGCACCACAUAAAAAUAAAAAAUAAGGAUGUUGUGUCCACCGAAAACUGAAAAAUAAAUAUUAAAAAAUUCUUUCUCCUCUUUCUCUCUCUCUCUCUCAAAAAAAAAAUUUUAAAAAUGACAGCCUUUGGGCUGGGGCUGGGGCUCAGUGGCAGAGUGCUUGCCUUGCAUGUGUGAGGCACUGGGUUUGAUCCUCAGCACC